CAGAGGCUGGAGAAUCUCUGUGGUUUCCCCCCUCCUUUGGAGAGAGGGAUCCUUUUUUUGUCCCCCACCGGGCCACCGGGGGGGAAUUUUCCGCUGGGCAGAAUCAAUAGUUUCCUGAAUAAGCCGGAGUCACUUGGGCUGCAGAGAUGUUGGAAGAAGAUAUGGAGGUGGCCAUCAAGGUGGUGGUGGUAGGGAACGGAGCCGUUGGGAAGUCCAGUAUGAUUCAGCGAUACUGCAAGGGCAUCUUUACAAAAGACUACAAGAAGACUAUUGGUGUGGAUUUCCUGGAACGACAGAUCCAAGUUAACGAUGAAGAUGUCAGACUAAUGCUAUGGGACACUGCGGGUCAAGAGGAGUUUGAUGCAAUAACUAAAGCCUACUAUAGAGGAGCCCAGGCUUGUGUUCUGGUGUUUUCUACGACGGACAGAGAGUCCUUCAAAGCAAUCCCCACCUGGAAGGAGAAGGUCGUGAACGAAGUUGGAGACAUUCCCACAGUUCUUGUGCAGAAUAAGAUUGAUCUUCUUGAUGACUCUUGUAUAAAGAAUGAGGAGGCAGAAGCACUGGCAAAAAAGCUAAAAUUAAGGUUCUACCGGACAUCUGUGAAGGAAGACCUGAACGUGACUGAAGUUUUUAAAUAUUUGGCUGAUAAAUACCUUCAAAGGCUGAAGCAACAAACGGUGGAAGAUCCAGAACUAGCGCACACGAGCAGUAACAAGAUCGGUGUUUUUAACACAGCUGGUGGAAGUCACUCCAACCAGAAUUGUAGCACUCUUAACGGCGGAGACGUCGUCAACCUCAGACCAAACAAGCAGAGGACCAAGAAAAGCAGAAGCCCUUUCAGCAGCUGCAGCGUCCCUUAGUCUGCUCUCGGUGGAGGAGGAAACCCCCCCGGUGGAUUGGAUGAAGUUGUGCAAUUGAGUUCCCGAAUAAAGCCACCCCUAGAGUCUUAACAGGUGGAAAAGUAACACAGUCUUUGACGCUAGUAGUUAUUCAGAGGGAACAUAAAAUCCUACUCCUGUUCAGAUUUGAUCGUUGUAUCCUGUGUUGUCUAUGGAAAAGGAACUCGUGGAGUGGUGUCACAAAAUACUUAUCUUCUUUGGAAAAACUUUUUCAUCGAUACCAUAAACUAAGUUAUGGAGGAUCCAAAAAAACUGCAGCUGAUGACUGAGUUACCUUAAUGAGACAUUCUUGAGUGUUCUCUCCAAGUUAGCUGCUGCUUACAGAAAACCUAAUUCUGCAAGAUCCAGAGACACGGCAAAAAUUUUUCCAAGUGCUUAAGUAAUUUUACAGAAUUGAUGUAGAUGUUUAGGAGCCCAAAUCUAAAUUAAAAGUUAUUUGGGCUUAGGCUCCUAAAUCACUAAGGUGCUUUUAAAAAUGCUGAGCAAGGUAUCUUUUCUUUACCAAAAAUAAACACUUUUUAAUCCUCUUCGAGAGCAUGCAUGCCUUUAAAAAAAUAUCCAUUUUGUUUACAUGUUUUUGUAUGGUAUGAUAUAAUUUUAACUUUCUAGGAUUUCUACGACAAACCUGCCGGUGACAAAUGCAAAAUAUGCUGCUUGAAAAAAAUUCAGAGUUUUAAUAGUUUUUUAAGUGGUGCGUGAGAAUGAAAAUGAGCUGAGUGAUCCUGUAUAUUUUUGGAGGAAGGACUUUUCACUGUGUGAAUUCCUGUAGGAAGCUUGACUGACUUUGUUUCUAAGUCAAUGAGUAUGAAAACUGAAAUGGACUCUUGUUUUUUUCCCCCCCUGUCUGCAGGGAGAGAAGUGGGUGGCAAGUUAUGCACAAACACUAAAGCUCUGUGAACUCUGUAUUUCGUGUUGUUUACUGUGUUAGACUUUCUUUGGCAAAGCUGGUAGAGCAUCUCCUGUUGCUGGCGAGAAGGUGGCCUUCAAGGCGCUCCAUCCCCUUUGCUGUUGGAAACUGUGUGUUCUUCACCAUAACGUUUCCUGUCUUUUCUCUUGGAUAAAGGCCUUUCUUUUUGAACAAGUGCAUUUAAUCACUGGAUGGAUGGAUGGAUGGAUAAAUGGAGUCGAGUCCUAUCCGUCUCAGCAAUUUCAGAAGUAAGGUACUUAGGAUAAGGCUUAGGAUUGUGCGUCACGGGGGGUCACCUUCAGCUUCAGGAGGUAGGACGGAGUGUGUGCAUGAAGAAUUUUGACAACUGUUUUUAAGAUGGAAACUUUCACCUUUUGUUGUCUGCCUGCGGGUGUAACGUUUUGUAUUCAUUCUUCUCGAAACAAAAACCACAAAGUGUCUGAAACAUCUUUUUUUUUUUUGCCUUGUUUGAUUUUGUACAGAGGACUGAAAAAUAAGUCUUUAUUCCGUAUAAUGACCAUUUGUACUAUGACAUGUAAUAAUGUAGACAUUAUCACACAAGCCAUUUGCAUCCAACGUCUUGUCAUUACAAACCGCUGUUUUAAGGACUGAAAACUCAGUAGAAACGUUCUUAGGUGGAGACUUGACAGACUUGCUAAAUUUAGGAUACGUUGAAAUCUAGUACAGGUACUUUAAUGUAGGAGUAGGUGUUUGCAGCAUUGCAUGACAGUGUUGAUUUUGACCCAAAGUGGCUCGCUCUUCCCCGUGACGUUGCGGUGCGUGUUCUCCGGACGGAGCUGUCCACCUCGGCCUUUUUCUGGAAGUGCUCUGCAUGCGACGCUGCUUGAAAAUGGAAUUUUUAUCCUGCUGGGGUUAGUGUGUAGAGGUAAACCAGGUGAUUUGCACACUGAGGGAAUCCUUUAGGUAUCCACGUCGCUACUCAGCAGGAGUAACUUGCGCUUUUUGGGUGAAGAGACGUGCCUAAACAUUUUAGCCCUCGCACUGUCCCCUGGGAAUAAUUAUUAUUAUAAACACUGCCCCAUUCUCAUUAAAAUAUCAUAUAUUUUAGUUCCCGAAACCUACAGGUGCAGAGCUGCUCUGUGCCCCCGUGUGACUGCGUGGUGGAAGAGGGUGUAGCUGUUACACCGGCUGCCCGAAU